UGGCACAGUGGUUAAGCGUUUGGCUGCUAACCAAAAGGUCGGAGGUUCGAAUCCACC
rnacentral:tRNA from 1 species